rnacentral:rRNA from 1 species
ACGCACGCUGGCGGCGUGCUUAACACAUGCAAGUCGAACGGUGAAGCGCCUUCCUUUUUGGUGGGUGUGGAUGAGUGGCGAACGGGUGAGUAACACGUGAGUAACCUGCCCCCUUCUUCUGGAUAACCGCAUGAAAGUGUGGCUAAUACGGGAUAUUCUGGGUCUGUCGCAUGAUGGGUCUGGGAAAGAUAUUGUUUCGGUGGGGGAUGGGCUCGCGGCCUAUCAGCUUGUUGGUGGGGUGAUGGCCUACCAAGGCGGUGACGGGUAGCCGGCCUGAGAGGGUGGACGGUCACACUGGGACUGAGACACGGCCCAGACUCCUACGGGAGGCAGCAGUGGGGAAUAUUGCACAAUGGGCGCAAGCCUGAUGCAGCGACGCCGCGUGAGGGAUGGAGGCCUUCGGGUUGUGGACCUCUUUCGCCAGUGAAGCAGGCCUGCCUCGUUUGUGGGUGGGUUGACGGUAGCUGGAUAAGAAGCGCCGGCUAACUACGUG